rnacentral:rRNA from 1 species
UACAGAGGGUGCAAGCGUUGUUCGGAAUUAUUGGGCGUAAAGGGCGCGUAGGCGGCCUGACAAGUCGAAUGUGAAAUCCCAGGGCUCAACCCUGGAAGUGCAUCCGAAACUGUCUCGCUUGAGUCUUGGAGAGGGUGGUAGAAUUCCCAGUGGUAGAGGUGAAAUUCGUAGAUAUUGGGAGGAAUACCGGUGGCGAAGGCGACCACCUGGCCAAUGACUGACGCUGAGGUGCGAAAGCGUGGGGAGCAAACAGGG